UUGAAGAAGUUUUGGAUAUAAAUUUAUUUGUCCUUAUUGGCAUUCGGUUAAACCGAAUCGGGCGCGUCCAUGAUCUGGCUUGAUCCGACAGUUAUUAUAUUGUCUAAUUGGAUUAGAAUUAAUAUCACUUUUAAAUUAGAAAGCUAAAUUAGAGAUAUAUUCUGACCAUAUUAGAAUAACAACAUAAACCGACUCGGCCUAAUCUCUUACUUAUCUAUUAGGAUUUUGGAAUCUUUUAUAAAUAUAUGGGCUAUCUCUCAUAAGACAUAACAAGAAAUAAUAGAAUAAUUUAUGAGCCGUCUUGUGAAAGGGAGAAACCACAUCCUCUAUUAACCUAUUAUUCUAGAGGGUCUUGAACAGUGGAUUCGAGAUCGUGCUUGUUUGUAGUAUGAUCUACCGCGGGUUUGAAAUGUUAGAAGAGCUUCGUGGACGAUCCAAAAACACGUGAAUCAACCUCUAUGAUCCAGACUCAUCGCGUUCUAGCGUAAGUCGCU
rnacentral:lncRNA from 1 species